AGGAUUAACGCUGGCGGCGUGCCUAACACAUGCAAGUCGAACGAGGUAGCAAUACCUAGUGGCAGACGGGUGAGUAACGCGUGGUCAACCUACCGUUGAGUGGGGGAUAACUAGCCGAAAGGUUAGCUAAUACCGCAUACGAGUCUCGGGGGCAUCCCUGGGCCUUAAAAGGAGCAAUCCGCUCGAUGACGGGACUGCGUCCCAUUAGCUAGAUGGUGGGGUAACGGCCUACCAUGGCUCCGAUGGGUAGCUGGUUUGAGAGAGCGACCAGCCACACUGGGACUGAGAAACGGCCCAGACUCCUACGGGAGGCAGCAGUGAGGAAUUUUCCGCAAUGGGCGAAAGCCUGACGGAGCGACGCCGCGUGUGGGAAGAAGGCCUUCGGGUCGUAAACCACUGUCGAAGGGGACGAUAAUGACGGUACCUUGGAGGAAGCCCCGGCUAACUACGUGCCAGCAGCCGC
rnacentral:rRNA from 1 species